GACGAACGCUGGCGGCGUGCUUAACACAUGCAAGUCGAACGGUAAGGCCCUUCGGGGUACACGAGUGGCGAACGGGUGAGUAACACGUGGGUGAUCUGCCCUGCACUUCGGGAUCAGCCUGGGAAACUGGGUCCAAUACCGGAUAGGACCACUGCCUGCAUGGGUGGUGGUGGGAAGCUUGUGCGGGUGGGAUGGGCCCGCAGCCUAUCAGCUUGUUGGUGGGGUGAUGGCCUACCAAGGCGACGACGGGUAGCCGGCCUGAGAGGGUGACCGGCCACACUGGGACUGAGAUACGGCCCAGACUCCUACGGGAGGCAGCAGUGGGGAAUAUUGCACAAUGGGCGCAAGCCUGAUGCAGCGACGCCGCGUGAGGGAUGACGGCCUUCGGGUUGUAAACCUCUUUCAGCACCGACGAAGCGCAAGUGACGGUAGGUGCAGAAGAAGGACCGGCCAACUACGUGCCAGCAGCCGCAGUAA
rnacentral:rRNA from 1 species